rnacentral:rRNA from 1 species
UACGAAGGGUGCAAGCGUUACUCGGAAUUACUGGGCGUAAAGCGUGCGUAGGUGGUGAGUUAAGUCUGUCGUGAAAGCCCCGGGCUCAACCUGGGAAUGGCGAUGGAUACUGGCUCGCUAGAGUGCGGUAGAGGAGAGUGGAAUUCCCGGUGUAGCAGUGAAAUGCGUAGAUAUCGUAAGGAAGACCAGUGGCGAAGGCGGGUCUCUGGACAGUUCCUGACGCUGAGGCACGAAGGCCAGGGGAGCAAACGGG